UACCAGCUCUCCGAGUGGUAGGGAUGAUUAUUGGGCUUAAAGCGUCCGUAGCCGGCUUAGCAAGUCUCCUGUUAAAUUCAGCGACCUAAUCGUUGAGCCGCGGGAGAUACUACUAGGCUAGGAGGCGGGAGAGGUCGACGGUACUUCCGGGGUAGGGGUGAAAUCCUAUAAUCCCGGGAGGACCACCAGUGGCGAAGGCUGUCGACUAGAACGCGCUCGACGGUGAGGGACGAAAGCUGGGGGAGCGAACCGGAUUAGAUACCCGGGUAGUCCCAGCUGUAAACGAUGCGGGCUAGGUGUUGGGGUGGCUACGGGCCACUUCAGUGCCGCAGGGAAACCAUUAAGCCCGCCGCCUGGGGAGUACGGCCGCAAGGCUGAAACUUAAAGGAAUUGGCGGGGGAGCACCACAAGGCGUGAAGCUUGCGGUUC
rnacentral:rRNA from 1 species